UGGCGGGUGCUAUACAUGCAGUAGAACGCUGAAGGUUGGUGCUUGCUCUGAGCGGAUGAGUUGCGAACGGGUGAGUAACGCGUAGGUAACCUGCCUGUUAGCGGGGGAUAACUAUUGGAAACGAUAGCUAAUACCGCAUAAAAGGCAAUAUCGCAUGAUAUUGAUUUGAAAGGUGCAAUUGCAUCACUAACAGAUGGACCUGCGUUGUAUUAGCUAGUUGGUGAGGUAACGGCUCACCAAGGCGACGAUACAUAGCCGACCUGAGAGGGUGAUCGGCCACACUGGGACUGAGACACGGCCCAGACUCCUACGGGAGGCAGCAGUAGGGAAUCUUCGGCAAUGGACGGAAGUCUGACCGAGCAACGCCGCGUGAGUGAAAAAGGUUUUCAGAUCGUAAAGCUCUGUUGUAAGAAAAAAACGAGUGUGAGAGUGGAAAGUUCACACUGUGACGGUAUCUUACCAAAAAGGGACGGCUAACUACGUGCCAGCAGCCGCGGUAAUACGUAGGUCCCGAGCGUUAUCCGGAUUUAUUGGGCGUAAAGCGAGCGCAGGCGGUUAUAUAAGUCUGAAGUUAAAGGCUGUGGCUUAACCAUAGUACGCUUUGGAAACUGUUUAACUUGAGUGCAAAAGGGGAGAGUGGAAUUCCAUGUGUAGCGGUGAAAUGCGUAUAUAUAUGGAGGAACACCGGUGGCGAAAGCGGCUCUCUGGUCUGUAACUGACGCUGACGCUCGAAAGCGUGGGGAGCAAACAAGAUUAGAUACCCUGGUACUCCACGCCGUAAACGAUGAGUGCUAGGUGUUAGGCCCUUUCCGGGACUCAGUGCCGCAUCUAACGCAUUAAGCACUCCGCCUGGGGAGUACCACCGCAAGGUUGAAACUCAAAGGAAUUGACGGGGGCCCGCACAAGCGGUGGAACAUGUGGUUUUAUUUCGAAGCAACGCGAAAAACCUUACCAGGUCUUGACAUCCCUCUGACCGCUCUAAAAAUAGAAUUUUUCCUUCGGGAACAGAGGUGACAGGUGGGGCAUGGUUGUCCUCCACCUCGUGUCGUGAAAAUGUUGGGUUAAGUCCCCCCAACGAGCGCCACCCCCUAUGGUUAGUUGCCCUUCAUUCAGUUGGGCCUUCUAACGAAAACUGCCGGUAAUAAACCGGGAGGAAGGUGGGGAAUGACGUCAAACAUCAUGCCCCUUUUAGACCUGGGGCUACCCCCCGGGCUACAAUGGGUGG
rnacentral:rRNA from 1 species